rnacentral:lncRNA from 1 species
ACGGACGGUCACACCAGAGCUGUUAGGCUCACACACCAGACUCUGGAAAUGCCGUGGUUACUGCCUGGAGCUGCUCUGAGCCUUCCGAGGUGGACUCACUCCUCUGCCUUGGGCCCUGGGACCUGCUGUGUAGCUUUGAAGUGAUUCACAGCACUUACAUAGUCUGAUGUUUUGGGGUGACCUGACCCCCCUGCAAGAGUGUGAUGUCUUAUCAGACCACAUAUGUGAGGACUUGAGUGAACUCCGCAACCUUGGGAAUGCCACUUAAACCUUGUCAGACACUCCCUUAUGUGAGUUACUGACCCUGACUGCUGGACUGCAAAAACAGACAUCAGCUUGAAGGUUGUGCAGAUGCUUUGAGGCAAGCUAUACGCUGCUGGCCUGGGAGCUGGACCUCGGUCCCAGCUUCUCAGAGAGCUCCCGCUCUCACGCUCUCCACUGCUACCAAGGCAAACCUCGAACUCUCACCAGAUCUCACUCUCCAGGGGCCCGCUCCAUCCCAGCAGAGCAACCGGACCCUGGCCGUUCUGCCACUCACCUCCCUGCCGUGAAUGCACCCCAUCCAUGGAGGCCCUGCUUCCCUGCCAGGUGUCUUCACCUCCUCCCCUCUCCUCCCCUCUGAGCACUGUGAACCCGAGAACAAAUCUUCUUUGACAAUAAACCGUGUGAUUCGUGGAAUCAUA